UACGGGGGGAGCAAGCGUUGUUCGGAUUUACUGGGCGUAAAGAGCGCGCAGGCGGCUGGUCAAGUCCGAUGUGAAAUCUCCCGGCUUAACUGGGAAACUGCAUCGGAAACUGAUCGGCUUGAAGGUGGGAGAGGGUAGUGGAAUUCCCGGUGUAGUGGUGAAAUGCGUAGAUAUCGGGAGGAACACCAGUGGCGAAGGCGACUACCUGGCCUGUUCUUGACGCUGAGGCGCGAAAGCUAGGGGAGCAAACGGG
rnacentral:rRNA from 1 species